CCAAGCCAUUUUGUCCUCAAAGCCCCACUGCAACAUUAUGUCCAAAUUUCAAUACAACGUCCUUUAUCAUCAAUACAGCACACAAAAAAUGUAAAUAAAAUAAAGUCAACUAAACAGAGCGAAAGAGGACUAUUUUGGGUUGAUGGCAGCUAGAACUUCAGUUUCACUUUCCGUUUCCGACGGACCCGUUACAUCGGCGCACCGCUGAGGGGAAAAAACACAACACCUGGGUGGACACCAUGGCAUCUAAAUAGACAAACAAGUCUGAGAAAGACGUCAAAGAAAGGACAGUUCAGCACAUAAUUCAACCAAGAGACGCUGCUGUUGCCACUCGAUGAAUCCUCGCGGUGUGAGAGGAGUGAUGAUGCAGGCAGCACCAAAUGAGCCAGGGUCGGCUCCACAGAACACCAAGACUGCCAUCCCAUGGUGGAAGAGGGAAGUCGUCUUCCCCUCUGAGACGCUCCAUACAGACAGCAGGAUGUGGCACAGUCGCUAAAAUAGGAGUUAUUCUCCGUCCGUUGCAUUCAUCUUACAGGUCGAGCACAAUUCCACCGAGUCUGUUUCUCUUUCUGUAUAAUGAAGGACUGUGAUGGUGCUUUAUCACCUGAACAUCCUCAUCCCCAACAUUAGCUCAGAUAUAAUGAGGGUUACUCAGAGGACGGGGGCCCUCUCUGCAGCAUGAUAAAGGACCCGAGAGUGCGCCAGUGACACUGCAUCGGUCAUUAGCCUGGCUCACUUUGCCCUUUCAUAUAUUUCUAAAUAACUGCCUUCCUGUGGGUUUAACGGACCACCUAAUCUGCCUACUUAGAGGUAAAGGGGGGGAAAGAGUGGAAAUCCGAAGAGGUGAGUGUCACGCAGGUAAAUGUGCUUAUCAGAGCUGUGACAUGUUUAGCCUCUCUGGUGGAAAUGCUGUCACGGGCUCUAAAAGAAAAAAACCCCUCAGUGGGUUUCACCAGCGAUAUAAACUGGGGAGGGAUUAGUGUGUUUUACGUGAGGCCUGCAGUAAAUGUGGAACAGUGGCAGCCAUUAAAAUCCCCACAAGCGCUUUCUCUCUGCACUCCCCCUUUAAGUUAAGAAUUCACCUGGCAUAGGCCAGUCUGAUCAAUACUUGUAAAUAAACAAUUCUCUCCAAAAGACCGGAGAAGUAACAGUCUUAUCUUUGGCGCUGUUAAGAUGCACAGCCCGGAGCCGCUGCAGUGCCAACAAAUGGACGAUUGAUUUGACACCGGGGACGUGUGAGGGUCGUCAAAACGAAAGGGGCUUAGUGCUACAACGGCGCUGGAAAAGAUGAACUUUAAAUUCCUGAGAUAAUUCAGAAAAAAAAUUGAAAAUAUCACAGAAAAUCAUCCAUCCCUGCAGGAAUACCACGGCAGAUUUUAAAAUAAAGCCGAACAAGGUCACUAUAAAGUUUUGAGUAGCAGAGACACAAAUAAGUCCCUAUAGGAAAAACUACAGGAAUGUAAAAGCAUUUUAAAGUGAAUUUUGAAUCCUCUAGGCAGGCAAACUACUUUCUCAUGUUCAGCGGUGGAAGACGUAGAAGUUACAGUGUGUCCACAGACUUAAAUUUAAUGAUUUUUAACCUGAUUGAAAUGAUUCACCCAAAAAGGAAAAUGUAGUCCUUAUCUUCUCACAGCCAUGUGGAGGGAAAGUGUGGAUGAUGUUUCGUAGUCCAUCAAACAAUUUUUGGAGCUUGGCAACAAAAUAGUGUUGCUGCAUUCUCCUGAACAACUGAGGUAAGCUGGGGACUCGUUUUAACACAAUGUUUGAUUCCUGGACUUUCACAGACUCGGACUACACAUUUUUACAUUUAGAAAAGCUGCAGCUCUGUUUUGAAGCUUUAGAAGUGUUUCAUGGACCACAAAACAUCACCAGACUUUCUAUCCACAUAGGGGUGAGUAGAUGACUUGCUUUUCAAUUUUGGGUGAACUUAUCCUUCAAGACUGAUUUGAUUUGACCGUUAUUUCUCUCUUAUUUAAGCAGCACGGGUAAGUAUAUAUAUGUAUAUAUGUGGCCUUGUGCAGAGGUAGAUUUUAUGUAGGGAUAUGGUGACAGGUAAAUGCAAGUAUAAAGCAAGAACAACAACAUAAGGUUUGUGUCAGGUUUGAAAGAUUUGUAUUAUCAUAAACGUGGACUUUCACGCGAAGGAGCUCGACUCAUAUUGACAAAUAAAUAUAGAGAUGGAUUUAAGAAAUGAGAUCAUAUGUUUGUGGAUAUUUAACUUUAAGACUAUUUGAAUUUUAUGGCGCAGAAUGCAUCAAACAUACUGAGUUACUGUUAUUUCCUCUCUUUUACAAACCAGAGGGAGGACACAGAAUAAUUUCAGUGAUAUAUGAUGAGUCUUAGCCUGGCGGUGUAGUCAGCCAUGCUUUCACAUUGUGAAAUGAGUUCCACUGACCCGGCCACCCACAGGGGUUCAGCAAUGAGAGCCCACAUCUGGUUCUUCCUAAGGAUGAAGUUACACUCAUCCUGCCAUGUAAGAUAAGCCUGUAGGGUUAAUAAGAAACGGUGCCGGUAUAUCACCGUCAAAUUCAAGGAAACAGGCCUUUGGCACCCCUUUCUAGAUGGCAGAGGAACAAUCAAUGCAAAGUGUGUAACUGCUGGGUUAUUUGACUAAACUGGGGCACAGAAUGCCUCGAAGGGAACAGGAAAUGACAACCGUAACAUUUCACUCCUGUGGCUAGUGCCAGAGUAACUGUACUGUGUCGAUACAAUAAGUAGAGAGGGCAGGUCUGUUACCUCCAGCAGCCAGCAGAGGGCAACAUGCAGCACUAAGUCCACUGAUGAGGGCUAAUUCACUUCCAAUUUAAUCAGUUUCUAAAUUCAAUUAGAUCAAAUGUAAAUCAUCAUCUGUUGCUAUGGCGCUAAUAGAAAAUUCUGAUUUGGAAAACACACGCACAUUAUGCUUCAAGGGUUUCCGGAGACAAAAUAAUGUCCACUAUUUACAAAGGAGAAAAAAAAGCAUUUAUUCGACAACACGCGCUGCAGAGCAAUAAAAGCAUACUCACAGCUGGAGGAAGUAAAGGAACAGGGGAGGACAAGUUACAAAGAAAUGUUUCAGGCAGUGGUACAAACAUCUUGUUCAUUGUAGCACUUGAUUAAACAGUUAAGAAGUUGGCUCUCUCGUCAAAGCUUCACGCACGCCGACACAGAAAGGUUGUGGGAUUUUCUGGUAAAUGCACAUACACUCUGUUAAUUAACAUACAUACUGUACAUCCACAAACAUAGUUUGAUUUUUCUGUGAGUGUAUGUGUGUGUGUGUGUGAUUUUGUUGGCACAAACUGUUUAAAAAUGACUCCAACAUGAAGUCCACUUCUUAGGUAUCUGAAAUGUAGUGCAUGUUAUUCAAAAGACCAAAGCAUAAUAAGAAAAUCUGAACUCUUGAGGGUAAUGACACGCUGUUGAUUUUUAAAAGUUUGAUGGCCUCCUGGAUUGUCAACACCUAUCGCACAGUACAGACUCCAAAUUCAACAGUCGUGUAAAACAGGAAGUUGUCUGAACUGUGAGAGGGGCUGGAUUACAGAAACAUGGCAGAGCACCAUUGAGAAAAACAGGUCUACUCU